rnacentral:rRNA from 1 species
UUUAACUGAAGAGUUUGAUCAUGGCUCAGAUUGAACGCUGGCGGCAGGCUUAACACAUGCAAGUCGAGCGGGGGAAGGGAGCUUGCUACUGGACCUAGCGGCGGACGGG